UACAGAGAGUGCAAGCGUUAAUCGGAAUUACUGGGCGUAAAGCGCGCGUAGGUGGAUUCUUAAGUCGGAUGUGAAAGCCCUGGGCUUAACCUAGGAAUUGCAUUCGAUACUGGGUAUCUCGAGUAUAGUAGAGGGAAGUGGAAUUUCAGGUGUAGCGGUGAAAUGCGUAGAUAUCUGAAGGAACACCAGUGGCGAAAGCGGCUUCCUGGACUAAUACUGACACUGAGGUGCGAAAGCGUGGGGGAGCAAACAGG
rnacentral:rRNA from 1 species